rnacentral:lncRNA from 1 species
ACACACACAAGACAGUACAUCCAGUUGCCAAGGAAGUAUAAGAAGAGAUCUGGAAAUCAGGAACAAAGACCAAGAUGACAAGCAGCCUAGGAAGGCCAUAGAACUCUCUGAAAUUUUGAAGCGUGAUGAAAAAUGGAAAUCUUGAACUGCUUUCUCAAAGCCUCAGAAGCUAAAGUCAGGUAGAGACUUUUGGAACAGGUUAAAACAAGCCAGGUCUUCCCAUGGAUGUACAGCAAAUGAAGACACAGCCAGAACAGGUCAGUUACAAUGAGAGUUUCUCUA